UCCUUCUUACAACAUAUGGAUCUGUGUCCAGAUUUCCCGUUGACGGAGUACCAGUCUGACUGGCAUCUCUGUGUUUCGGUCGAGAGCUGGGCAGAUCGACGACCUUGGAGCCAUCCACCUUCCAACAUGUAUGGCACCCUUACGGUAUCCUGUCGACAGAUCUUAGAUUAAGUGUUUGCGCCGGGUGUCCCUUGGGUCUUGAGCUCCCGCCUUGGUGAGCUCGGCUUGAGGCCCUGGUUGCGGACGGCGUCAUAUUCCACCCCUCUUUACCGAUUGGCCGUUGGCCCGUGAGGUUAGGGAUAAACCAUGACCAGCCAACAUUU
rfam:Penicillium subrubescens strain CBS 132785 PENSTBscaffold_274, whole genome shotgun sequence.